rnacentral:rRNA from 1 species
AGUGAACGCUGGCGGUAGGCCUAACACAUGCAAGUCGAACGGCAGCACAGUAAGAGCUUGCUCUUACGGGUGGCGAGUGGCGGACGGGUGAGUAAUACAUCGGAAUCUACUUUUUCGUGGGGGAUAACGUAGGGAAACUUACGCUAAUACCGCAUACGACCUACGGGUGAAAGCAGGGGAUCUUCGGACCUUGCGCGAUUGAAUGAGCCGAUGUCGGAUUAGCUAGUUGGCGGGGUAAAGGCCCACCAAGGCGACGAUCCGUAGCUGGUCUGAGAGGAUGAUCAGACACACGGGAACUGAGACACGGUACAGACUCCUACGGGAGGCAGCAGUGGGGAAUAUUGGACAAUGGGCGCAAGCCUGAUCCAGCCAUACCGCGUGGGUGAAGAAGGCCUUCGGGUUGUAAAGCCCUUUUGUUGGGAAAGAAAAGCAGCAGGUUAAUACCCCGCUGUUCUGACGGUACCCAAAGAAUAAGCACCGGCUAACUUCGUG